GAUGAACGCUAGCGGCAGGCCUAACACAUGCAAGUCGAGGGGCAGCACGGGUAGCAAUACUUGGUGGCGACCGGCGCACGGGUGAGUAACGCGUAUGCAACCUACCUUCAACUGGGGGAUAGCUCAGUGAAAACUGGAUUAAUACCCCAUAACACAGGGAUACCGCAUGGUAAUAUUUGUUAAAGCUCCGGCGGUUGAAGAUGGGCAUGCGUGACAUUAGCUAGUUGGUGAGGUAACGGCUCACCAAGGCUACGAUGUCUAAGGGGUCUGAGAGGAUGAUCCCUCACACUGGUACUGAGACACGGACCAGACUCCUACGGGAGGCAGCAGUGAGGAAUAUUGGUCAAUGGGGGCAACCCUGAACCAGCCAUGCCGCGUGAAGGAAGACGGCCCUAAGGGUUGUAAACUUCUUUUGUACGGGGGUAAAGACAGAUACGUGUAUUUGUUUGAAAGUACUGUACGAAUAAGCAUCGGCUAACUCCGUGCCAGCAGCCGCGGUA
rnacentral:rRNA from 1 species